GAACGCACAUUGCGCCCGCCAGUAUCCUGGCGGGCAUGCCUGUUCGAGCGUCAUUUCAACCCUCAAGCCCCCGCGGCUUGGUGUUGGGGGCCUGCGCACCGCAGCCCCCUAAAGACAGCGGCGGGCGUGGCCUGGUACCGAACGUAGUAGAUUCUACCCUCGUUCGCGGUCCAGGGCGCGCUCCGGCCGGUAAACCCCCAUCUUUACAAUGGUUGACCUCGGAUCAGGUAGGAAUACCCGCUGAACUUA
rnacentral:misc_RNA from 1 species